UACGGGGGGGGCAAGCGUUGUUCGGAAUUACUGGGCGUAAAGGGCUUGUAGGUGGCCAACUAAGUCAGACGUGAAAUCCCUCGGCUUAACCGGGGAACUGCGUCUGAUACUGGAUGGCUAGAGAUUGGGAGAGGGAUGCGGAAUUCCAGGUGUAGCGGUGAAAUGCGUAGAUAUCUGGAGGAACACCGGUGGCGAAGGCGGCAUCCUGGACCGAGAUUGACGCUGAGGCGCGAAAGCCAGGGGAGCAAACGGG
rnacentral:rRNA from 1 species